CGAAAUUUUUCAUUUUGUUGCAGCAAAAAGAUAAAUGGACGAAUUCCAUCUACUUCCUCAUUAGUUGACCGAAAAAUUAUAAAAUUGACUUAUUUUGACCAACUAAAAGCAUGAUAAAAUUGUAACUUUAUAUUUUCCACAUAAAAUAAUUAAAAUUGAUCAAAAAUUGAUCAAAUCGUUGAAUUUUGAUCAACUAAUGGGGGCUUGGAUGAAAUUCGUCCAUUCGUCUUUUUGCUACAACGAAAUGAAAUGUUUG
rnacentral:miRNA from 1 species